rnacentral:rRNA from 1 species
UGCGCAGGCGGUUUAUUAAGUCAGAUGUGAAAUCCCCGGGCUUAACCUGGGAAUGGCAUUUGAGACUGGUAGGCUAGAGUGUGUCAGAGGGGGGUAGAAUUCCACGUGUAGCAGUGAAAUGCGUAGAGAUGUGGAGGAAUACCGAUGGCGAAGGCAGCCCCCUGGGAUAACACUGACGCUCAUGCACGAAAGCGUGGGGAGCAAACAGGAUUAGAUACCCUGGUAGUCCACGCCCUAAACGAUGUCGACUAGUUGUCGGGUCUUAAUUGACUUGGUAACGCAGCUAACGCGUGAAGUCGACCGCCUGGGGAGUACGGUCGCAAGAUUAAA